AAAUAAAUUUUUAUAGUUUCAAAAAUUUAAUUUAAAUUUAUUUUAUAUAUAAAUUAUAGUAUAAAUUUUUAAUUAUUUUAAUAAUUAUUAAUUAAUUAAAUAGUAAUUAAUAUUAAAAAUUUAAGAAAUUAAGAUUUAGUAAUAUUUAUAAAUUAUUAACAAAUUUUGUGCCAGCAGUUGCGGUUAAACAAGAAAUAAUUUAAAUUUUAUCAGUAAAAAUAAAUAUUUAUAAAUUUGAUAAAAUAAAUAGUUAAUUUUUAGGUGAAAUUUUAAUUAAUUAAAUUUUUAUUUUUAAUAUGUGAUUUUAAAAAUUUUAUUAAAAACUAGGAUUAGAUACCCUAUUAUAAAAAAUUAAAAAUUAAUACUAAAAUAUUAUUUGUUUAUAUAUAAAAACUUAAAUAAUUUGGCGGUAUUUUAGUUCAUUUAGAGGAAUCUGUUUAUUAAUUGAUAUUCCACGAAUAAAUUUACUUAAUUUAAUAUAUUUUGUAUAUCGUUGUAAAAAAAAUAUUUUUUAAUAAUAAUAAUAUUUUAAAAUUAAAAUAAAAAAUUAAUUCAGAUCAAGAUACAGAUUAUAAUUAAGAAUAUAAUGGAUUACAAUAAAUAAAAAUUAAAUGAAUAAUAUUUUGAAGUGAAUAUUUGAAGGUGGAUUUAAAUGUAAUUUUAAUUAAAUUAUUAAAAUGAUUUUAAAUUAAAAUAUGUACAUAUUGCCCGUCACUUUCAUUUUUAAAUUGAAAUAAGUCGUAACAAAGUAGGGGUAUUGGAAAAUGUUCCUAGAAAGAA
rnacentral:ncRNA from 1 species